rnacentral:rRNA from 1 species
CCUAACACAUGCAAGUCGAGCGGCAGCAUGCUUAGUAGCAAUACUAAGUGAUGGCGAGCGGCGGACGGGUGAGUAAUGCGUAGGAAGCUACCCGAUAGAGGGGGAUACCAGUUGGAAACGACUGUUAAUACCGCAUAAUGUCUACGGACCAAAGUGAGGGACCUUCGGGCCACCUGCUAUCGGACGCGCCUACGUGGGAUUAGCUAGUUGGUGAGGUAAUGGCUCACCAAGGCGACGAUCCCUAGCUGGUUUGAGAGGAUGAUCAGCCACACUGGAACUGAGACACGGUCCAGACUCCUACGGGAGGCAGCAGUGGGGAAUAUUGGACAAUGGGCGAAAGCCUGAUCCAGCCAUGCCGCGUGUGUGAAGAAGGUCUUCGGAUUGUAAAGCAUUUUAAGUUGGGAGGAAGGGCAGUAAGUUAAUACCUUGCUGUUUUGACGUUACCGACAGAAUAAGCACCGGCUAACUCUGUGCCAGCCGCCGCGGUAACAC